AGAUGUAAAGACAAUCUGGCUGUGACAUCUGUCACCCCGAUGUAUCAACAGGGCUGAUUGGCUUAUCUGGCUGCCUACGCAGGGUUCUCUUUGUCUUUCACUGCUUUGUGUGUAUCCUUUCAGAAGUUGGGUGCUGGGUCAAAGAGGAUGACCACUUCCCAUAGAGGAGGACCAUUUCUUUGUUAAAGAUAUCCCAGUAGCUGCUGCCUCUUAGUAGCUAGAACGUCCAAAGAAGCUCUCAGCUAUCAGUGUCUCCAGAGAGGUAUAAGUAGAGUAAUUCAACAAAUAUGUAGCAACAUAAUAUGAGAAAUGAGGUACUAUUUGAGCU
rnacentral:snRNA from 1 species